GUGAAUCAUCGAAUCUUUGAACGCAUAUUGCACUCUCUAGUAUUCUGGAGAGUAUGCCUAUUCGAGGGUCAUUUGAAAUAAUAUAAUUUUCUAGAUUUUCUUGCACUCAAUAAUGGGUCGGUCCAGAUUUCGUGUGGUGGUCGCCUAAAAUGCAAGACAAGCUCAUUUAUUGGGUUGCGUGAUGCUUUCAGUCACCUCGUGACCUCACAAGCACUCUUCGAGCGUGUUAAGAUUUGUGCAAGAAAUAAACUUCAUUUAUCUUGGGCUUA
rnacentral:misc_RNA from 1 species